ACUACGGAAGGGCUGUAUUUAUUGGAUACCAAAACCAUCCUUCCCUCGGGAAGUUUUGUUUGAUGAUUCACAAUAACUGAUCGGAUCGCCACUGUGGUGGCGACAGGUCAUUCAACAUUCUGCCCUAUCGGCUUUCGAUGGUUGUGUAGUGGACAACCAUGGCCAUAACGGGUAACGGAGAAUCAGGGUUCGAUUCCGGAGAAGGAGCUUGAGAAUUGGCUACUACAUCUAAGGAAGGCAGCAGGCGCGCAAUUACCCAAUCCCGAUUCGGGGAGGUAGUGACAAAAAUAACAAUACCGGGCCUUUUUGGGCUUGGUAAUUGGAAUGAGGGAGAGUUAAACGGACCAUCGAGUAUCCAUUGGAGGGCAAGUCUGGUGCCAGCAGCUGCGGUAAUACCAGCUCCAAUAGCGUAUAUUAAAGUUGUUGCAGUUAAAAAGCUCGUAGUUGGACUUGUGUGCGCUGUCCGCGGGUGGCCUGCGCCCAAAAGGGCGUUUCGGUUCGGCCCCGGUGGCGCCUUGAAAUCUGCAGCUGGGGGGACGUUGGCCUUAACUGGUCGGCGACCGCACGCCGGCUGCUCGGUUACUGUGAGAAAAUUAGAGUGUUCAAGGCAGGCAUUGGGUGCAAUUGAAUACAUUAGCAUGGAAUAAUAAAAUAUGGCUCCUGCCGUAUUUUGUUGGUUUGACUGGUGGGAGUAAUGAUUGAUAGGGACGGUUGGGGGUGCUAGUAUUGAGCGGCCAGAGGUGAAAUUCAUGGAUUCGCUCAAGACUAACUUAUGCGAAAGCAUUCACCAAGGACGUCCUCUUUAAUCAAGAACGAAAGUUGGGGGAUCGAAGACGAUCAGAUACCGUCGUAGUCUCAACCAUAAACUAUGUCGACUUGGGAUCGGCGGUAGUUUUUUCAUUAAGACACUGUCGGGACCACGGGAGAAAUCAAAGUGUCUGGACUCUGGGGGAAGUAUGGUCGCAAGGCUGAAACUUGAAGGAAUUGACGGAAGGGCACCACCAGGAGUGGAGCCUGCGGCUUAAUUUGACCCAACACGGGGAAACUUACCAGGUCCAGAGAUGUAGAGGAUUGACAGAUUGAAGCUCUUUCUUGAUCACUUCGGUGGUGGUGCAUGGCCGUUCUUAGUUGGUGGAGUGAUUUGUCUGGUUAAUUCCGUUAACGAACGAGACCUCAGCCUGCUAGUCUAGUCGGCUGGAUUGCCUUUGGCGAUCCGUGAUUUCGACUUCUUAGAGGGACAAUCGACGCGCAGUCGAUGGAAC
rnacentral:rRNA from 1 species